rnacentral:rRNA from 1 species
AUUGAACGCUGGCGGCAGGCCUAACACAUGCAAGUCGAGCGGAUGAAGGGAGCUUGCCCCUGGAUUCAGCGGCGGACGGGUGAGUAAUGCCUAGGAAUCUGCCUGGUAGUGGGGGAUAACGUCCGGAAACGGGCGCUAAUACCGCAUACGUCCUGAGGGAGAAAGUGGGGGAUCUUCGGACCUCACGCUAUCAGAUGAGCCUAGGUCGGAUUAGCUAGUUGGUGGGGUAAAGGCCUACCAAGGCGACGAUCCGUAACUGGUCUGAGAGGAUGAUCAGUCACACUGGAACUGAGACACGGUCCAGACUCCCACGGGAGGCAGCAGUGGGGAAUAUUGGACAAUGGGCGAAAGCCUGAUCCAGCCAUGCCGCGUGUGUGAAGAAGGUCUUCGGAUUGUAAAGCACUUUAAGUUGGGAGGAAGGGCAGUAAGUUAAUACCUUGCUGUUUUGACGUUACCAACAGAAUAAGCACCGGCUAACUUCGUG